rnacentral:lncRNA from 1 species
UGCUAAACUUAUUGGCAAAUUUUAUACCCUUUUGGUUUUAGAAAGACUAACUCUUUCUUAGAAUUAGCAGUCCUUUUGUGGGAGAAGGCAAAAGCUCUGUUUGGUCUCCAUAGUUUGUUAACUGGAUAGAAUCCAGAAAAAUCCUUCCACUUAGCUUCUUCAACCUUAAGACAUAUGUAGAUUAGUCUUGCAAAUUAGGUUAAUAAAAAUACUAUUUGAGUUCAAUUGC